AUUGAACGCUGGCGGCAGGCCUAACACAUGCAAGUCGGGCGCGCGGCGGACGGGUGAGUAAUGUAUGGGGCUCUGCCUGAUGGAGGGGGAUCUCCACUGGACACUGUAGCUUAUACCGCAUACCAUCAGAUGACCCCAUAUGGGAGUAGCUUGUAGGUGAGGUCACGGCUCACCUAGGCGACUAUCCCUCGCUGGUCUGAGAGGAUGAUCAGCCACACUGGGACUGGGACACGGCCCAGACUCCUACGGGAGGCAGCAGUGGGGAAUAUUGCACAAUGGGCGCAAGCCUGAUGCAGCCAUGCCGCGUGUAUGAAGAAGGCCUUCGGGUUGUAAAGUACUUUCAGACGGGAGGCGUUACCAACAGAAGAAGCACCGGCUAACUCCGUGCCAGCAGCCGCGGUAAUAC
rnacentral:rRNA from 1 species